ACAUUUCAAUAACCAUUUCGCUCUAAACCUGCGCUGCUGCCACUACCACGAACUCGAGUAAACUUCCCAGUAGUAUGGUCCAUAAUCCUGCGAUAAAUGUUGCCCUUGAAGAAGAGAUGCCUCUUGUCCUCGAUAGCAUUUAGGCAGAGACAGCCAAAUUGAGGCCCAAUCUUUGAGCCCUGCAAUCAAGAGGCAGCUAGCUCUUGGCAGAUCAGAAGCCGGCCAAAUACGCUCCCGCCAUUUAUCAGCUACCGCAUUGGCCAUUAUACCUUCGAAUAAUGCUCUUACGGUCCACAGUCCAGACCCGAAUAUCCCCCACUUGGUGACCAAGGGUCGGAAGAGUAACUACAAAAAUGUUGAAUCCCACUCCAUCUCCAAAAGUAUGUCAUGGAUUGAGAUGGAUUUGGUGGCUUCAAUGAGCGAGUAUUUCUCACCAGGAAUCAGAGCUAAGAGCCAGAGCAUGGCACGCAUCAAGCCAGAACUUCGCAUGCAUACCAUUGUGAACUUCUUUCUCAUUUGAUAAGAGAUCUGAUGCUUUUCCAUGCUGCAAAAGUGUGACGCCACGCAGGGGAAUGGUUGUUGAAAAUUGAUCCAGCACAACAUUCUCCCCAAAAUGAAGUUGGCCCCCAGUAUUGGGGAAUAGCCGGCUAAGGACGUAAUCCGACCAAAAAGACAUGCCAGCAUGAGAAAACAUCUUUUGCCUCCAACAUGAUAAAUGUUUCCCCACUUUAACAAACAAGCAAAGGGGAGAGCAGAUGAUGCUUUCAAGGAGAUCACUAGUGAGCAACGGCAUGCCCAGGUAGGUAAAAUGCUGCAUCUGGUAGGACCAACCAAAGGUGGUUGUCAUAGCAUGGAUUCUUGAAGAUGAAAGAUUAAACCCAGUGAAAUUGAUGAUCGAACCUGAGCAGUUCUGAAAGUUGGCGAGAGCAUUGCAAAUUCCUUGUACUUCGCUUGUUAAUAAACACAAAAAGCAAAAUAAUAUAGUAGCCCUUCCUGUUUCUCUUCUUCACCUCCGUCGCCCGAGCCUUUCUGUUUCUCUCCCCCAUCUCUUCUUCUCCUUCGUCGUCUACACGGAUUCUAUUCGUUUCCUCUUGCUGCAGCUCAUCAACCGGCGUCCUCGAGCAGCUCCUCAGUAGGGCAUUUUCCAGCGGCUCCUGGGCGGCGGCUUGCCAUGGGAUUUGGUGAGAAAUGCACGCCAAGAGGUCACUGUACAUUCGGAUCUAGGCUGCACGAUAAUUCCUAGCCAUGUUUGUGAAGUUUCAGGCUGAACAAGGAUGGCCGAACAUUGAAAUUUAUAAAGAUUGAUCUUUGUAGACAAGGGCAUUUCUGUAGAAAGCAUGGGCUUCAAAUAUUGAAUAAUAUACUAUUUAUAAACUACUACCGGAAUCUUAGAUGCAUCACUUUUGGUUCAACAUGGCGAACUGGUUUCAGUUUGUUUGUCUAUUUUCUUCAUUAAUGAAAAAACAAGUUGUUUUGGGUCUUA